rnacentral:rRNA from 1 species
UACGUAGGGGGCGAGCGUUGUCCGGAAUUAUUGGGCGUAAAGAGCGUGUAGGCGGUUCGGUAAGUCUGUCGUGAAAACCUGAGGCUCAACCUCGGGCGUGCGAUGGAUACUGCCGGGCUAGAGGAUGGUAGAGGCGAGUGGAAUUCCCGGUGUAGCGGUGAAAUGCGCAGAUAUCAGGAGGAACACCGGUGGCGAAGGCGGGUCUCUGGGCCGAUACUGACGCUGAGGAGCGAAAGCGUGGGGAGCGAACAGG